rnacentral:rRNA from 1 species
CCUACGGGAGGCAGCAGUGGGGAAUAUUGCACAAUGGGGGAAACCCUGAUGCAGCGACGCCGCGUGAGUGAAGAAGUAUUUCGGUAUGUAAAGCUCUAUCAGCAGGGAAGAAAAUGACGGUACCUGACUAAGAAGCCCCGGCUAACUACGUGCCAGCAGCCGCGGUAAUACGUAGGGGGCAAGCGUUAUCCGGAUUUACUGGGUGUAAAGGGAGCGUAGACGGCCAGACAAGUCAGAAGUGAAAGCCCAGGGCUCAACCCUGGGACUGCUUUUGAAACUGCCGGGCUGGAGUGCAGGAGAGGUAAGCGGAAUUCCUAGUGUAGCGGUGAAAUGCGUAGAUAUUAGGAGGAACACCAGUGGCGAAGGCGGCUUACUGGACUGUAACUGACGUUGAGGCUCGAAAGCGUGGGGAGCAAACAGGAUUAGAUACCCCAGUAGUC